rnacentral:rRNA from 1 species
AGGACGAACGCUGGCGGCGUGCUUAACACAUGCAAGUCGAGCGGAAAGGCCAUUUCGGUGGUACUCGAGCGGCGAACGGGUGAGUAACACGUGAGUAAUCUGCCCUUGGCUUUGGGAUAGCCACCGGAAACGGUGAUUAAUACCGGAUAUGACCACGUACUGCAUGGUGUGUGGUGGAAAGUUUUUUCGGCCAGGGAUGUGCUCGCGGCCUAUCAGCUUGAUGGGUGGGGUAAUGGCUCACCAGUGGCUUUCGGACCGGGUAGCCGGUCCUGGAGGAGGGUCGACCGGUCACACGUGGGACUGACGACACGGCCCAGACC